rnacentral:rRNA from 1 species
CUCCUGACUGACCGAUAGUGAACCAGUACCGUGAGGGAAAGGCGAAAAGAACCCCGGCGAGGGGAGUGAAAAAGAACCUGAAACCGUGUACGUACAAGCAGUGGGAGCACCUUCGGGUGUGACUGCGUACCUUUUGUAUAAUGGGUCAGCGACUUAUAUUCUGUAGCAAGGUUAACCGUAUAGGGGAGCCGCAGGGAAACCGAGUCUUAACUGGGCGUUAAGUUGCAGGGUAUAGACCCGAAACCCGGUGAUCUAGCCAUGGGCAGGUUGAAGGUUGGGUAACACUAACUGGAGGACCGAACCGACUAAUGUUGAAAAAUUAGCGGAUGACUUGUGGCUGGGGGUGAAAGGCCAAUCAAACCGGGAGAUAGCUGGUUCUCCCCGAAAGCUAUUUAGGUAGCGCCUCGUGAACUCAUCUUCGGGGGUAGAGCACUGUUUCGGCUAGGGGGUCAUCCCGACUUACCAACCCGAUGCAAACUACGAAUACCGAAGAAUGUUAUCACGGGAGACACACGGCGGGUGCUAACGUCCGUCGUGAAGAGGGAAACAACCCAGACCGCCAGCUAAGGUCCCAAAGUCACAGUUAAGUGGGAAACGAUGUGGGAAGGCACAGACAGCCAGGAUGUUGGCUUAGAAGCAGCCAUCAUUUAAAGAAAGCGUAAUAGCUCACUGGUCGAGUCGGCCUGCGCGGAAGAUGUAACGGGGCUAAACUGUGCACCGAAGCUGCGGCAGCGACACUAUGUGUUGUUGGGUAGGGGAGCGUUCUGUAAGCCUGCGAAGGUGGCCUGUGAGGGUUGCUGGAGGUAUCAGAAGUGCGAAUGCUGACAUAAGUAACGAUAAUGCGGGUGAAAAGCCCGCACGCCGGAAGACCAAGGGUUCCUGUCCAACGUUAAUCGGGGCAGGGUGAGUCGACCCCUAAGGCGAGGCCGAAAGGCGUAGUCGAUGGGAAACAGGUUAAUAUUCCUGUACUUGGUGUUACUGCGAAGGGGGGACGGAGAAGGCUAUGUUAGCCGGGCGACGGUUGUCCCGGUUUAAGCAUGUAGGCGGAGGUUCCAGGUAAAUCCGGUACCUUAUUAACGCUGAGGUGUGAUGACGAGGCACUACGGUGCUGAAGUAACAAAUGCCCUGCUUCCAGGAAAAGCCUCUAAGCAUCAGGUAACAUUAAAUCGUACCCCAAACCGACACAGGUGGUCAGGUAGAGAAUACCAAGGCGCUUGAGAGAACUCGGGUGAAGGAACUAGGCAAAAUG